UUUCCGUAGGUGAACCUGCGGAAGGAUCAUUAAAGAGUAAUGGUCUUGGGGCCCUAUCUCCAACCCUUUGUUCAACUACCAUGUUGCUUUGGCGGGCCCGUCUCACGAGCGACGGAAGUUUGGCUACGACCAAACUUAUGAUCCGUGCCCUUCUGUAGCCCCUUCAAAUUAUUGAUCAAGUAUGAUGUCUUAGUUAAAAACUUAAUAGUUAAAACUUUCAACAACGGACCUCUUGGUUCUG
rnacentral:misc_RNA from 1 species